rnacentral:rRNA from 1 species
UGGGGAAUAUUGGACAAUGGGGGCAACCCUGAUCCAGCGAUGCCGCGUGGGUGAAGAAGGCCUUCGGGUUGUAAAGCCCUUUAGGUUGGGAAGAAGGAUGAUGGAUGAAUAAGCCAUUAUUUUGACGGUACCGACAGAAUAAGCACCGGCAAACUCUGUGCCAGCAGCCGCGGUAAUACAGAGGGUGCGAGCGUUAAUCGGAGUUACUGGGCGUAAAGGGCGCGUAGGCGGUUAUACAAGAUUGAUGUGAAAGCCCUGGGCUUAACCUAGGAAGCGCAUCGAUGACUGUGUAACUGGAGUAUAUGAGAGGGUGGCGGAAUUUCCGGUGUAGCGGUGAAAUGCGUAGAGAUCGGAAGGAACGUCGAUGGCGAAGGCAGCCACCUGGCAUAAUACUGACGCUGAGGCGCGAAAGCGUGGGUAGCGAACAGGAUUAGAUACCCCGGUAGUCC